UACGUAGGGAGCAAGCGUUGUCCGGAAUCAUUGGGCGUAAAGCGCGCGUAGGCGGCCCUGUAAGUCCGUUGUGAAAGUCAAAGGCUCAACCUUUGAAAGCCGAUGGAUACUGCAGGGCUAGAGUCCGGAAGAGGCGAGUGGAAUUCCUGGUGUAGCGGUGGAAUGCGCAGAUAUCAGGAGGAACACCGGUGGCGAAGGCGGGUCUCUGGGC
rnacentral:rRNA from 1 species